rnacentral:rRNA from 1 species
CCCAGACUCCUACGGGAGGCAGCAGUGGGGAAUAUUGCACAAUGGGGGGAACCCUGAUGCAGCAACGCCGCAUGGGUGAAGAAGUACUCCGGUAUGUAAAGCCCUGUCAGCAGGGAAGAAAAUGACGGUACCUGACCAAGAAGCCCCGGCUAACUACGUGCCAGCAGCCGCGGUAAUACGUAGGGGGCAAGCGUUAUCCGGAUUUACUGGGUGUAAAGGGAGCGUAGACGGCAAGGCAAGUCUGGAGUGAAAGCCCGGGGCCCAACCGCGGGACUGCUUUGGAAACUGUGUUGCUGGAGUGCAGGAGGGGUAAGCGGAAUUCCUAGUGUAGCGGUGAAAUGCGCAGAUAUCAGGAAGAACACCGGUGGCGCAGGCGGCCUGCUGGACGGCAACUGACGCUGAGGCUCGAAAGCGUGGGGAGCAAACAGGAUUAGAUACCCGCGUA